rnacentral:rRNA from 1 species
AUUGAACGCUGGCGGCAGGCCUAACACAUGCAAGUCGAGCGGAUGAAGGGAGAUUGCUCCUGGAUUCAGCGGCGGACGGGUGAGUAAUGCCUAGGAAUCUGCCUGGUAGUGGGGGAUAACGUCCGGAAACGGGCGCUAAUACCGCAUACGUCCUGAGGGAGAAAGUGGGGGAUCUUCGGACCUCACGCUAUCAGAUGAGCCUAGGUCGGAUUAGCUAGUUGGUGGGGUAAAGGCCUACCAAGGCGACGAUCCGUAACUGGUCUGAGAGGAUGAUCAGUCACACUGGAACUGAGACACGGUCCAGACUCCUACGGGAGGCAGCAGUGGGGAAUAUUGGACAAUGGGCGAAAGCCUGAUCCAGCCAUGCCGCGUGUGUGAAGAAGGUCUUCGGAUUGUAAAGCACUUUAAGUUGGGAGGAAGGGCAGUAAGUUAAUACCUUGCUGUUUUGACGUUACCAACAGAAUAAGCACCGGCUAACUUCGUG